CCUACGGAGGCUGCAGUGGGGAAUAUUGGACAAUGGGGGGAACCCUGAUCCAGCCAUGCCGCGUGUGUGAAGAAGGCCCUCGGGUUGUAAAGCACUUUCAGUGAGGAAGAACGCCUGGUGGUUAAUACCCAUCAGGAAAGACAUCACUCACAGAAGAAGCACCGGCUAACUCCGUGCCAGCAGCCGCGGUAAUACGGAGGGUGCGAGCGUUAAUCGGAAUUACUGGGCGUAAAGCGCGCGUAGGUGGCUUGAUAAGCCGGUUGUGAAAGCCCCGGGCUCAACCUGGGAACGGCAUCCGGAACUGUCAAGCUAGAGUGCAGGAGAGGAAGGUAGAAUUCCCGGUGUAGCGGUGAAAUGCGUAGAGAUCGGGAGGAAUACCAGUGGCGAAGGCGGCCUUCUGGACUGACACUGACACUGAGGUGCGAAAGCGUGGGUAGCAAACAGGAUUAGAUACCCUAGUAGUC
rnacentral:rRNA from 1 species